AGAACGCUUAACCCAGGGGCUGCCCUAUGUGUAUCCUCUUGGACCUAUAGUGGCUGAAUGUCCUUUUUGAGAUCCUGCAGCUGUUGACCCUGAGUGGGAGAAUGCCUUAUCCAGGUGUAAUCUUGUGCACACCUUUCCAGACCCAUAGCAGUGGUUUGGUUGCAGAGCUGUGAUUAUAUGGACAUUCUCCACACUUGGUAUACAGCAGUUCAGACAUGCAGCCCCAUUGGAAUGUGCUGAUAGAGAUAUACUUUUAAUUAUUCGGCUUCAUUAUAUUAUGAUUGGAUUUGAUGAUUCAUGUAUGGCCCUUCUUGAAAAAGAUCCUGG